rnacentral:rRNA from 1 species
GAUGAACGCUGGCGGCGUGCCUAAUACAUGCAAGUCGAGCGAACAGACGAGGAGCUUGCUCCUCUGACGUUAGCGGCGGACGGGUGAGUAACACGUGGAUAACCUACCUAUAAGACUGGGAUAACUUCGGGAAACCGGAGCUAAUACCGGAUAAUAUAUUGAACCGCAUGGUUCAAUAGUGAAAGACGGUUUUGCUGUCACUUAUAGAUGGAUCCGCGCCGCAUUAGCUAGUUGGUAAGGUAACGGCUUACCAAGGCAACGAUGCGUAGCCGACCUGAGAGGGGGAGCGGCAACACUGGAACUGAGACACGGUCCAGACACAUACGGGAGGCAGAAGGAGGGAAUCGUACGCAAUGGGCGAAAGCCUGACGGAGCAACGACGCGGGAGUGAUGAAGGUCUUCGGAUCGUAAAACGCUGUUAUGAGGGAAGAACAAAGGUGUAAGGAACUGUGCACGUCGUGACGGUACCUAAUCAGAAAGCCACGGCUAACUACGUG